CAGCAGCCACGGUAAUACGUAGGUGGCAAGCGUUGUCCGGAAUUAUUGGGCGUAAAGGGCUCGCAGGCGGUUUCUUAAGUCUGAUGUGAAAGCCCCCGGCUCAACCGGGGAGGGUCAUUGGAAACUGGGAAACUUGAGUGCAGAAGAGGAGAGUGGAAUUCCACGUGUAGCGGUGAAAUGCGUAGAGAUGUGGAGGAACACCAGUGGCGAAGGCGACUCUCUGGUCUGUAAUUGACGCUGAGGAGCGAAAGCGUGGGGAGCGAACAGGAUUAGAUACCCGCGUAGUCCCUGUCUCUUAUAC
rnacentral:rRNA from 1 species